rnacentral:rRNA from 1 species
AGCGGGGUGUAGCAAUACACCCAGCGGCGGACGGGUGAGUAACACGUGGAUAACCUGCCUUCUUCACCGGGAUAACAGGCCGAAAGGCCUGCUAAUACGGGAUAAGCUCACGGAGUCGCAUGGCUCUGGGAGAAAAGGCGCUGGAGGAAGAGGGGUCCGCGGCCCAUUAGCUAGUUGGAGGGGUAACGGCCCACCAAGGCGACGAUGGGUAGCCGGCCUGAGAGGGCGAACGGCCACACUGGGACUGAGACACGGCCCAGACUCCUACGGGAGGCAGCAGUCGGGAAUUUUGGGCAAUGGCCGAAAGGGCUGACCCAGCAACACCGCGUGAGUGAAGAAGGCCUUCGGGUUGUAAAGCUCUGUUACCCGUGAAGAACGGUGUGGAGAGGAAAUGCUCCAUACUUGACGGUAGCGGGGGAGGAAGCUCCGGCUAACUACGUGCCAGCAGCCGCGGUAAUACGUAGGGAGCGAGCGUUGUCCGGAUUUAUUGGGCGUAAAGGGCGUGUAGGCGGCUUGUUAAGUCUGGAGUGAAAAUCCGGGGCUCAACCCCGGAACUGCUUCGGAUACUGAUGAGCUUGAGUACUCUAGAGGGCAGUGGAAUUCCCGGUGUAGCAGUGAAAUGCGUAGAGAUCGGGAGGAACACCAGUGGCGAAGGCGACUGCCUGGGGAGAAACUGACGCUGAGGCGCGAAAGCUGGGGGAGCAAACGGGAUUAGAUACCCCGGUAGUCCCAGCCGUAAACGAUGAGUGCUAGGUGUAGCGGGUAUCGACCCCCGCUGUGCCGCAGUUAACGCAAUAAGCACUCCGCCUGGGGAGUACGGCCGCAAGGUUGAAACUCAAAGGAAUUGACGGGGGCCCGCACAAGCAGCGGAGCAUGUGGUUUAAUUCGAAGCAACGCGUAGAACCUUACCAGGGCUUGACAUGUAGCGAAUCCCUUAGAGAUAGGGGAGUGCUCCUUCGGGAGAACGCUAACACAGGUGGUGCAUGGUUGUCGUCAGCUCGUGUCGUGAGAUGUUGGGUUAAGUCCCGCAACGAGCGCAACCCCUAUCGUAUGUUGCCAGCAGGUAAAGCUGGGCACUCAUGCGAGACUGCCGGUGACAAACCGGAGGAAGGUGGGGAUGACGUCAAAUCAUCAUGCCCCUUAUGUCAUGGGCGACACACGUGCUACAAUGGGCGCCACAAAGCGAACCGAGACCGCGAGGUGGAGGAAACCGCAAAAGGCGUUCGUAGUUCAGAUCGCCCCCUGCAACUCGCCUGCGUGAAGCCGGAGUUGCUAGUAAUCGCGGAUCAGCACGCCGCGGUGAAUACGUUCCCGGGCCUUGUACACACCGCCCGUCACACCAUGGGAGCUGGUAACACCCGAAGUCGGUGAGCUAACACGCAA